UACGAAGGGGGCUAGCGUUGUUCGGAUUUACUGGGCGUAAAGCGCACGUAGGCGGAUCUUUAAGUCAGAGGUGAAAUCCCAAGGCUCAACCUUGGAACUGCCUUUGAUACUGCCGGCCUCGAGGGGGAUAGGGGCGUGCGGAACUCAGGGUGGAGCGGUGAAAUGCGUAGAUAUCGUAAGGAAGACCAGUGGCGAAGGCGGGUCUCUGGACAGUUCCUGACGCUGAGGCACGAAGGUCAGGGGAGCAAACGGG
rnacentral:rRNA from 1 species